AUUCAGCUUAGCUGCCAUGACUGGCGCUUAGCUUCAUGAACCUUAGUUUGUUAUGGCCGUAAGGAAUUUAGCUUGGCGACAAUAGAUCGCGCUUAGCCAAGGAUAAGCUGUAGCUUAGCGAUCAGGCUGAAGCUUAGCCAAAUUCAUAUUGAAUUGAAGUUGGCUGAGCUCAGCCUUGGCCAGCUUAGCGGACCAAAUCAGCCUCCAAUGCAAGGGUUGGGCGCUAAGCAC
rnacentral:lncRNA from 1 species